rnacentral:lncRNA from 1 species
GAUUGGUCGUUCCGAAUAAAACAUCCGCAAUUGCAGUUCCUCCAGCUUGGCCUGGAUAACCAGCCCAUAUAAUGGCACUAACUCGAGGAUCAUUCUUAGCGAAUGAGACAUCGAUAGGACCACCUGACAUCAAGACCAGCACGGUUGGACCUCUAGAAGCUCGAGCCACUCGGGAAACAAGCUCUUGCUGGCGUCCAGGCAAGAGCAGCCCUACCCUGUCCCUGAAUUCUGCUUCUAUAGAUUGGUCGAGCCCCAUUACGAGUACGGUUGCAUCUGCCUUGUGGGCUGCAACCUCCGCCGCUCCAAACAGAUUGUUUGUGUCGCAAGCAACAUCUGAACACCCUGCCUGAUGAAUGGUCCUUGCAUAUCUUGAAAUACCUUGCAAUGGACUCGUGUAACCACAUGCCACUCCUGCAUCAAAGAAACAAAGGGAACCGUCGUAUUUUCAUGAACUUAGCUUUCACUGGGAAUGAAGCAAAUGAAUCCAAAAUGAGACUGGUACCUGCAUAAUUUCCUAUCAUUGUUACAGUGACAUCAGAGUUGGGCCCAAUAACAGCAACAGUGCGGUGGCGUGCAGUGGACAAUGGCAGAGAACCAGAAUUCUUUAGCAAAACUAUGCCUUGUCUGGCAGCCUCGAGAGCAAGUUGUUGAUGAGCCGGAGUGCACACGUCUCUUGGGCCCAAGUUCCCAUAUGGUUGGGCUGAUGGCUCGCCAUCAAACAUGCCAAGUCUCAUUUGGAUUGUUAUGGUGUUGGCUAGAGCCAAGUCAACAUCAGCCUCAGCCAACAGCCCCCUCCUCACUGCCAGGUCUGUGUGGAUUGCCAAAAAUGGUCCACAAUCCAAAUCCAAACCUGC